rnacentral:rRNA from 1 species
GAGGUUGAACGGCCACAUUGGGACUGAGACACGGCCCAGACUCCUACGGGAGGCAGCAGUGGGGGAUAUUGCACAAUGGGGGAAACCCUGAUGCAGCGAUGCCGCGUGGAGGAAGAAGGUUUUCGGAUUGUAAACUCCUGUCGUAAGGGAAGAGAAAGGACUGUACCUUACAAGAAAGCUCCGGCUAACUACGUGCCAGCAGCCGCGGUAAUACGUAGGGAGCGAGCGUUGUCCGGAAUGACUGGGUGUAAAGGGAGCGUAGGCGGGAUGGCAAGUCAGAUGUGAAACCUGAGGGCUCAACCUUCAGACUGCAUUUGAAACUGCUGUUCUUGAGUGAAGUAGAGGUAAGCGGAAUUCCUGGUGUAGCGGUGAAAUGCGUAGAGAUCAGGAGGAACAUCGGUGGCGAAGGCGGCUUACUGGGCUUUUACUGACGCUGAGGCUCGAAAGCGUGGGGAGCAAACAGGAUUAGAUACCCUGGUAGUCCACGCUGUAAACGAUGAUUACUAGGUGUGGGGGGAUUGACCCCUUCCGUGCCGCAGUUAACACAAUAAGUAAUCCACCUGGGGAGUACGACCGCAAGGUUGAAACUCAAAGGAAUUGACGGGGGCCCGCACAAGCAGUGGAGUAUGUGGUUUAAUUCGAAGCAACGCGAAGAACCUUACCAGGUCUUGACAUCGAGUGACGUAUCCAGAGAUGGAUAUUUCCUUCGGGACACAAAGACAGGUGGUGCAUGGUUGUCGUCAGCUCGUGUCGUGAGAUGUUGGGUUAAGUCCCGCAACGAGCGCAACCCUUAUCAUUAGUUGCUACGCAAGAGCACUCUAAUGAGACUGCCGUUGACAAAACGGAGGAAGGUGGGGAUGACGUCAAAUCAUCAUGCCCCUUAUGACCUGGGCUACACACGUACUACAAUGGCGAUCGAACAGAGGGAAGCAAGACAGCGAUGUGGAGCCAAUCCCAAAAAAUCGCCCCAGUUCAGAUUGCAGGCUGCAACUCGCCUGCAUGAAGUCGGAAUUGCUAGUAAUCGCAGAUCAGCAUGCUGCGGUGAAUACGUUCCCGGGCCUUGUACACACCGCCCGUCACACCAUGGGAGUCGGUAACACCCAAAGCCGGUCGUCUAACCUUCGGGAGGACGCCGUCUAAGGUGGGAUUGAUGACUGGGGUGAAGUCGAAACAAGGUAGCCGUAUCGGAGGGUGCGGCUG